rnacentral:rRNA from 1 species
UAAGGUGGCUAUAGCAAUGGGGCUCACCUCUUCCCAUCCCGAACAGAGAAGUUAAGCCCAUUAGCGCCGAUGGUACUGCCCUCCGGUGGGAGAGUAGGUCGCCGCCUUCU